UCGUGCUAGAUGGGGAGCUAGCGGUGCCCUGUAACCCGAGAUCCGCUUAUGCGGGGUUGAAAGUCCUUCAUGAGAAUCGGAUGCGGUUUGUUUCUUAAUCACUUUGGAUGAUGAAGUGGACCUCGCGUGACAGGCGCUUAUGAACCCCGUCAGGUCCGGGAGGAAGCAGCGGUAAGUAAGGCAGCCUGUGUCGUGAAGACAUCUACUCCUAUCUCCGAGUUGGUGAGGGCAGCCCGUAAUCGGUUCGAUUAAGGAUGCACGG
rnacentral:SRP_RNA from 1 species